rnacentral:rRNA from 1 species
AUGGUCUCCCCAAACCCCGGUGGCGGUGCCGUGCAGAAUUUUAUAUUGAGAGAAAAUAAACAAGGAGUGCGACUCGGAAAAAAAGGGUCGAAGUCGGAUGCGUACAGGCGCAGCGCACUACUUCUCCCCGGACCCCGGCGAGCAAUAAUAAAUGGCGUCAUAGCCACGGGCCUUCCUCCCCCAAGCGGAUCACACCAACCCACCCCCCGCCGCCUUCCUCCUCCUCGCCGACCGCCCGCACCCGUCAACCCGCCCCCACCGCCGGCCGCCGCGGGUGAGGCGGAGAUCCAUCCGUCCAUCUGA